rnacentral:rRNA from 1 species
AUAUUGGACAAUGGGCGAAAGCCUGAUCCAGCAAUGCCGCGUGAGUGAUGAAGGCCUUAGGGUUGUAAAGCUCUUUUACUGGGGAUGAUAAUGACAGUACCCAGAGAAUAAGCUCCGGCUAACUCCGUGCCAGCAGCCGCGGUAAUACGGAGGGAGCUAGCGUUGUUCGGAAUUACUGGGCGUAAAGCGCACGUAGGCGGCUAUUUAAGUCAGAGGUGAAAUCCCGGGGCUCAACCCCGGAACUGCCUUUGAAACUGCAUAGCUAGAAUCUUGGAGAGGCGAGUGGAAUUCCGAGUGUAGAGGUGAAAUUCGUAGAUAUUCGGAAGAACACCAGUGGCGAAGGCGACUCGCUGGACAAGUAUUGACGCUGAGGUGCGAAAGCGUGGGGAGCAAACAGG